rnacentral:rRNA from 1 species
AGAACGAACGCUGGCGGCAGGCCUCAAACAUGCAAGUCUAGGGGAUGUAGCAAUACAUCACCGGCGGACGGGUGCGUAACGCGUGGGAAUGUACCUAUUGGUUCGGAACAACUGAGGGAAACUUCAGCUAAUACCGGAUGAGCCCGAAAGGGGAAAGAUUUCUCGCCAAUAGAUCAGCCCGCGUCCGAUUAGCUAGUUGGUGGGGUAAAAGCCUACCAAGGCGACGAUCGGUAGCUGUUCUGAGAGGAAGAUCAGCCACACUGGGACUGAGACACGGCCCAGACUCCUACGGGAGGCAGCAGUUGGGAAUCUUGGACAAUGGGGAACCCUGAUCCAGCCAUGCCGCGUGAGUGAUGAAGGCCUUCGGGUUGUAAAACUCUUUCGACGGGACGAUAAUGACGGUACCGUAGAAGAGCUCCGGCUAACUUCGUGCCAGCAGCCGC